CCUACGGGAGGCAGCAGUAGGGAAUGUUCGGCAAUGGGGGGAACCCUGACCGAGCAACGCCGCGUGAAAGAAGAAGUUAUUCGUAAUGUAAAGUUCUGUUAACAGGGAAGAAAGAGAAAGUGGACGGGACCUGAAGAAUAAGCUCCGGCUAAAGACGUGCCAGCAGCCGCGGUAAUACGUAGGGAGCGAGCGUUAUCCGGAAUUAUUGGGCGUAAAGGGUGCGGAGAUGGCAUAGGAAGUCUUUUGUAAAAAUGCUGGGCUCAACCCAGUAGGGCAAAAGAUACUGCCAAGCUAGAGUAUGACAGAGGCAAGUGGAACUACAUGUGUAGCGGUCAAAUGCGUACAUAUCUGU
rnacentral:rRNA from 1 species